rnacentral:rRNA from 1 species
AGCGAACGCUGGCGGCAUGCUUAACACAUGCGAGUCGCACGAAGGUUUCGGCCUUAGUGGCGGACGGGUGAGUAACGCGUAGGAAUCUAUCCAUGGGUGGGGGAUAACACUGGGAAACUGGUGCUAAUACCGCAUGAUACCUGGGGGUCAAAGGCGCAAGUCGCCUGUGGAGGAGCCUGCGUUCGAUUAGCUAGUUGGUGGGGUAAAGGCCUACCAAGGCGAUGAUCGAUAGCUGGUUUGAGAGGAUGAUCAGCCACACUGGGACUGAGACACGGCCCAGACUCCUACGGGAGGCAGCAGUGGGGAAUAUUGGACAAUGGGGGCAACCCUGAUCCAGCAAUGCCGCGUGUGUGAAGAAGGUCUUCGGAUUGUAAAGCACUUUCGACGGGGACGAUGAUGACGGUACCCGUAGAAGAAGCCCCGGCUAACUUCGUGCCAGCCGCCGCGGUAA